rnacentral:lncRNA from 1 species
GCAGAUACCCCAUUUUCACGUUCAAACAUGCCCAAGGGAAAUUGAAAUCCCUAAUUCACUUUCUUCAUCUUCUCUCCUUCCUUCAAUGGUGGCUUAGGUUCUCUUUCUCCAUUAUAGCUUCUUCUCUCGAUAGCUACGGUUCAAGCGUAGGGAGACGACCAUAUCACAACCGUGGCUCGAUGAAAAUGUCACAAUCAUCUUCUCCAUCUCUUUAUUUUCGAUGGCAGCAACGAGUUCCUAUUCCGGCAGAAGCGACGAACUCUUCACGGCUGAAACUGAGCCGUUAUCGGUGGUUCUCGACCGAGACCACCGCGGCUCCGAGAAUGGGUAACCUUCUUCUCUGUUUUUCUUCAGCGGUGGUGGCUAAGGCCUCCGAUGGUGACGGUGGCGGCUUGGAGCCGUCGCAUUUCCUUCUCUUCUCCAUUCCAGCGACAUAGAGAGAGCAAAAUCCCUAGCCUCACCUUCUCCUCUUGCUCGCAGCGGGUUCUCUUCUUCCAGCGAUGGGUCAUGACGGUGGGAACCCUCUUUUCGUGGUGGUUCAGAGGCGACCUGAACACUGUGACAUUGUAGGUAUUUCUUAUAACAUGAGUAGGAUAGCGGUGUUUGUUUAUAAUUGUUUAGAUGAAUAGUAUGAGAUGCUUACCUGGAAGUAUGCCUUUCCUCUUGUCCAUUAACCCUGGGGUUCCUGUUUUUAAGUGUUCUGUGUACCUCCGCAACUUAGUUGAAUUCUUCUCCUCUUUGGUAUCGCUGAUUGUUUCUCCUUUCUGUUCUUGCAAUAUGUGUAUCAAUGCCUUACUCUCUCUAGAUGUGUAGUAUAUUCUGAAUGUCUAUGUAUAUGUGAUCUGUGGCAACCAUGUGUAUGAAUAUGAGUGAUGGGGUUUGUGAUGAAUAGUUAAACACUUAACCCAAAGAAUAAGUGAUUAAUUGAAUUCAUAAAUGGUUUGAUUUUGUGCAUUUGGACCUCUCCGAACAUUUUUAUAUUAGACACAAAACUGAUUCUUUUUAAUAAAACAAAAUCGAAGUUUGAGUAUUCACAAUUGCUCCUAUUUACUUAUUGUUUACUUGAUAGCAAGGAAAACCGAAGUUUGUGUGCUAUCGUAGUACGUAAC